rnacentral:tRNA from 1 species
ACCUUCGUGGUGUAACGGUUAGCACACUCGGCGCGUAUUCGAGAGAUCCAGGUUCGAGUCCCGGCGAGGGCA